UACGGAGGGUGCGAGCGUUGUCCGGAAUCACUGGGCGUAAAGGGCGCGUAGGCGGUCCGAUAAGCGUGUGGUGAAAGCCCGGGGCUCAACCCCGGGUCUGCCGUGCGAACUGUCGGACUCGAGCACUGUAGAGGCAGGUGGAAUUCCGAGUGUAGCGGUGGAAUGCGUAGAGAUUCGGAGGAACACCGGUGGCGAAGGCGGCCUGCUGGGCAGUGUCUGACGCUGAGGCGCGACAGCGUGGGGAGCAAACAGG
rnacentral:rRNA from 1 species